UACAGGAGGAUCUAUGCAGCUCAUUUUUUCCCUGACACAGAUAUUUCCAUGCAUAAUUGGUAAUUAUUCCACUUCAUUAAUGCAGAUCCCAACCUGCCCUCCUAAAUCUAUAGUCUGACCUUCAGCAUGCAAAGCUGGCUGGUGCACAGAGAGUGAAUUAGCAACAGUAUGAAAAAAAUGGCAUUAAUGAUGAGGAUGGAAAGGACAAGUGGUCUGCUGCUACUCGCCACACCCAUCCCAUCCCAGUGAAUGGACACAGAAGGGGCAACCCUCUGGAAGCCUGCCUCCCUUGCUGUCCUGGAUUCUCGCUGUAUUGUGAUCUGCUGAUUUAAUAUCCAAUGGCCUGUGCAACUACUGCUAUGGGAUGUUUAAUUAUUCAUCGGUAAAUCCGGUGUGUCAUGAAAUAUAUCCCACCUGUCAAUUCUCCCGUCCUCAAGAACGCUCAGUGUGUGCAUCAUAUCCUCGCAUCAGCCCGGUGUGUUUUGCUCUUGGUCUGCCUCUGUCUGGGCUGGAUACAGCUCAGCAUACGUAUGGGACUUGAGAUGACAUCACAGCUGCUCACUUGAGAGUUGCCCCCUCUUUCUCAAAUCGAAACAGGUUUAAAUCACUGGUUGUGUUUUGUUUUCAAAGAGGAGGACACCUCUGGAUAAUUUGGCUCUUGAUAAAAACAUCUGGAUUAGAAAAAAGCUCUCCCACUCUCGGAACCACUGCAUGCUGAUGCACAGGAUCACUGUCGGAGCCUCUUCAGCCUGAAACUCUUUAUUCAGCUACAGAUGAGAGAAAACUGCUCGUUCAACAUCCAACACAGAGACAUAUCCCUACACAGCUGCCUGUAGAAGGUGUUGAUGAGAUCAGUGAGACUGAGCUGAACACACUCUGUAGGGCUGAGGAGAGCUGCACAGUUGGUGAUAAUUCUCUUGCCAUGGUGACAAAUGACUGACAGCAGGUCGUAAGUGGUGACCUGGGAUGGACUCUCUUUAGCCAGGAAAGGUCGCAUGUCGAGGCCCUCCAACGGGAAGGACACAUGGCUGCUAAUCUUGAACGAAUACAUGAC